UACGUAGGGUGCAAGCGUUGUCCGGAAUUAUUGGGCGUAAAGAGCUCGUAGGCGGUUUGUCGCGUCUGCUGUGAAAACCGGAGGCUCAACCUCCGGCCUGCAGUGGGUACGGGCAGACUAGAGUGCGGUAGGGGAGAUUGGAAUUCCUGGUGUAGCGGUGGAAUGCGCAGAUAUCAGGAGGAACACCGGUGGCGAAGGCGGGUCUCUGGGCAACUACUGACGCUGAGGAGCGAAAGCGUGGGGAGCGAACAGG
rnacentral:rRNA from 1 species